rnacentral:rRNA from 1 species
UCGGUAAGUCCGCUAACGAGCGCAACCCUCGCUGUGUGUUACAAGUGUCACACGGAACUGCCGGUCAUAAACCGGAGGAAGGUGGGGAUGACGUCAAGUCAGCAUGGCCUUUAUAUCCUGGGCUACACACACGCUACAAUGGGGAGGGACAAUAGGUUGCGAAGCCGCGAGGCGGAGCCAAUCCAGCAAAACUUCCCUCAGUUCAGAUUGCAGGCUGCAACUCGCCUGCAUGAAGUUGGAGUUGCUAGUAAACGCAGGUCAGCCAUACUGCGUUGAAUACGUUCCCGGGGCUU